UACGUAGGGUCCGAGCGUUGUCCGGAAUUAUUGGGCGUAAAGGGCUUGUAGGCGGUUUGUCACGUCGAAAGUGAAAACUCAGGGCUUAACCCUGAGCCUGCUUCCGAUACGGGCAAACUAGAGGGAUGCAGGGGAGAAUGGAAUUCCUGGUGGAGCGGUGGAAUGCGCAGAUAUCAGGAGGAACACCGGUGGCGAAGGCGGUUCUCUGGGCAUUUCCUGACGCUGAGAAGCGAAAGCGUGGGGAGCAAACAGG
rnacentral:rRNA from 2 species